rnacentral:rRNA from 1 species
UGGGGAAUUGUUCACAAUGGGCGCAAGCCUGAUGACGCAACGCCGCGUGGGGGAUGAAGGUCUUCGGAUUGUAAACCCCUGUCGAAUGGGACGAAAGACUCGCGAGUUAAUACUUCGCGGGAGUGACGGUACCGUUAAAGGAAGCCACGGCUAACUCUGUGCCAGCAGCCGCGGUAAUACAGAGGUGGCAAGCGUUGUUCGGAAUUACUGGGCGUAAAGGGCGCGUAGGCGGCCUACUAAGUCAGACGUGAAAUCCCCCGGCUUAACCUGGGAAUUGCAUUUGAGACUGCACGGCUAGAGUGUGUCAGAGGGGGGUAGAAUUCCACGUGUAGCAGUGAAAUGCGUAGAUAUGUGGAGGAAUACCGAUGGCGAAGGCAGCCCCCUGGGAUAACACUGACGCUCAUGCACGAAAGCGUGGGGAGCAAACAGGAUUAGAUACCCCCGUAGUCCCUG